GCUGGCUCCGCAGACCCGGGGCUGGGGAAGCCCGCGCGCGUCGUAAGCAGCUGCGCCGCGGGGCUGGGGGCGCACGGACCCUCCCCCAUCUGGCCCUGCAGCCGCCGGGCACGCGCGCAGCCCCCUCCCAGGAUGCCUUAACGGCACCGAUCGCCGCCGCCGAGGUGCCCCUCCCCUGCAGGGACCCCAACACCGCCAGCCCCUUCCUCCUUCUCAGGUGGUGCGCACUGCUCUGCGCGAGGCCAGGUGGGCGACCCGCCGCUGCGGUCGCGGUCGCAGCCGGUCCUCCAGCCGAGCCCCGGCGCGGGGCAUGAGGAUCCCCUGGGUAUCGCCUGGAGACCACCCGGCUGCGCGCACACCUCACCAACGGCGGACGGGGACAUGAGCAGCGCGCUCGGGGUCCCGCGCCCGGCGGCCAGCCCCAGCCGGCGGCGGCCAGCGAGUCAGCGCUGCCCGGGAGAAUGAGGCAGGAGCCGGCGGCAGCUUCCUCUUUCUCCUCCUCCUCGCCUUCCUCUGGCUCAGGCGCCCCGGGCCCGGGCCGGGCUGUGGCUCUGCUGCGUGCCCCGCGCGCCCCCCGCCCGCCUCCGGAUGCUCUUCUCGGUUAGCCUGGCGCGGAAGAUAAAGACAUUUGCAACCACGAUGGUAAUCACCAGUGGAAAUGACGAAGACAGAGGAGGCCAAGAGAAAGAGAGUAAAGAGGAGAGCGUCCUGGCCAUGCUGGGCAUCAUCGGGACCAUCCUGAACCUCAUCGUCAUCAUCUUCGUCUACAUAUACACCACCCUGUGAGUUUUCUGGAGUGCCCUCGGCGCCUCGGGAUGGCCGUGAGACGGGAGCCCUGUGUGUUCACAGGUCAGUGACCAGAGGCCGUGAGGACAGGAAGCUUGUCCAACACUCACCGCUCCAUCAAAUGCACCCUUGGACUUUACAAAAGGUCACAAAAUAAACCGAUCCUGCUGCAAGAAGCAGACACUAAAGCACAAUGAACCCAACAAAACUCAUUCACGCCACAAGGAACUCAGCGUCUUUGGCAGGGGGCCCAGAGGGAGGCUUGGAAGACCAGCCUGCAGUACCGGCGGCGAGCGGAUGGGUGCGGAAAUUCAUCAUCCCGGAUCGCUGACGACGCCGUGUUGGGAAAGAUGAGCGGGGCAGGCGCAGCUCAGCCGCGCGUCUCCCUGGACAAGCAUUUCGUUGGAUCUCGAUGAGCGGUCGAGUGCAGUAGACCACAGGGGCAGGCCUCGGACGGGCAUCCCAUUCAUCAGGAGGUCUAACUAUUUGAUACCGCGGAGAUGACUUAUUUUUCUUUUUUUCAUUGGCUUGAUGUGUGUAUCUGUUCAUAUCAAGGUUUAUAAAUAUAUAUUUUUAAUAAAUGUGCUCUAUUUUUUAGCAUGAACCAAAUAUUUGGAGAGGCACUUCCGGAUCCAUAGUGCUUCCUUGCUUUUAACUGCUUUGUUCCCCAACUGCAAACGUUCUUUUCGGUCUCCGUUCGGGUCCUCUUGUCUCAUGUUGUCUUUCACCUUUGCACUCACCAGCCCCCGCCCCACCCCACCCCUCUCUCUGGUCAGGAGGACAUUUUCCAUACUACCAGCCAUGGUCUUUGUUGGCGCAUGUCGUAAGAGUGUCCGUUGAGCGACUUUUCGUUGUACUGGAGAUAUAAUACGAUCGUGGGCAUGCAGGCCAUAGAUGCACCCUAUCCGUACCGAGAAUUAUGCAUGAACCUUGGCCGAGUGAUCAAUCAGCUGUAAAGAGAUUUUAAAGAACUACCCUUGAGCAAGAAGAGUGUGGCUAUAAUUGCAGAUCAACUAUGGGACAGAAUCUUCCGGUGCCUCACUGGCAGCAUUAUUAUUCCAUCCUCGUAACCAUUUGUUUACCAGGUUUUGAUUUCUGGGACUGAGCGGUGGGAAGAGCGGGGGUGGGGCUCAACAUUGGGCCCACGAGUCUUGCCCUAGCGAGACUCCGGGGUCCUCUUCGAAGCUGGCGGGUGUAAAUGACACCCACCCUAACCCACUGCGAGGACACCUUGUGACAGCGACCUUUCAAGGGCAGUGGGAGGGGGUUCAGUGAUUGCCCUAAGGGGUUGCUGUGUGAAGUUCUUGAUUUACGCCUACCGAAGCCACUUCCUCCCUGGCAGGGGUGGGUGCAGUAACAGAACCCUCUCCUGGUUCCCUGCGGUGAGCCGUUGCCUGCCUGCAGUGGUGUGGCCUUAAAGUGAGGGUCAGAAUGCUUUCUGCUGGUGGGCAGGGGAAGCAGCAGUCUGCCUGGUUGGGUUCAAAUGAUGCCAAGGAGGUCUCUGCCUCCCAUCUGUCCCUCCUUCCUGAAAUUCCACCCUUAGAGAGUCAUUUCUUGGGCUCUGCUAAGGGAAAGCAAAUGCCCCUGAGCCCCUGGUCCUGACACUAAUUGACCAUAUAUCUUGUCUUCUCCAGAAGGAAGGAAGCUAAGGUGUACAUAGGCCAUACUGUCUGCCAGGCCUUUUGUACACGAGUCGAGGAAUCCUCGGAGUAGCCCUGUGAAAGAGGUAGGCUUUCCCCCGUGUCAUAGAGGAAGAGAGAGAUCCGGAGAAGUCCCCGAGACUUCAUGGCCAGGGAGCAGUCAGGACUCCGACCCCCUCUGUCUGGUUCCUCAGCUCAGCGAGGGCCGGACGGCUGGAGGAUAGGACAUGGCGGAGAGGAGGGCCCAGGAGAGUCAGGCUCGGAAGCCCAUCCUUUCGCUGAGGUCCAGCUCUGCACACCUCCCUUCCCCUCCCGGUAAAAGUAAACAGCCCCUGGGAUCCCACAAAUUAGGACACAAGGCUGGUUAGAAAAACCAGAACUGUCGGGGAGAGGGCCUCUCUGACCGGUGUGUGAUUCUGGAAAGACCAUGUGAUUCCCAACAGUGAACAGAUAAACAAUAAA